rnacentral:rRNA from 1 species
AUGUUGCAGGAGCACCAGCGGACCUCGGCGCCGAGGGCGGUGAGGGUCUCGAUGAGGACGGCGGUCUGGAUGGUCAUGUGGAGGGAGCCGGAGAUCCGGGCGCCCUUGAAGGGCUGCGAGGGGCCGAACUCGGUGCGGCAGGCCAUGAGGCCGGGCAUCUCGACCUCGGCGAGCUCGAGCUCGAGGCGGCCGAAGUCGGCCUGGGAGAGGUCCUUGACCUUGUACUCCCGGCCCGACGAGGUCUUCUCCACGGAGAGCGCCAUGGAGAAGGUUGGUGGAUUGGAUCUGGCAGAGGAGGAAGAAGAAGAGUGA